GGGGACGACCACCACAAGAACCUAAACACGAGCAGCAGUUGAGAACUUAAGCAAAAUAUCGAACUCAACACCUAAAUUAAAGAGUUCUUCCUCCGUUUUCUUUGAAAACCUGUUUUACUUAUCUUAGGCUAUCUCACUGAAACUUUAUAAGUAUUUUCUUUUCCUAAGAAUCCAACUUCAAACUAAAACCUUUAACAAUUUUCUCCACUAAAAUCUCCA
rnacentral:misc_RNA from 1 species